CAGUAGCCACGGUAAUACGAAGGGUGCAAGCGUUAAUCGGAAUUACUGGGCGUAAAGCGUGCGUAGGCGGUGAGUUAAGUCUGCUGUGAAAUCCCCGGGCUCAACCUGGGAAUGGCAGUGGAUACUGGCUCGCUAGAGUGUGUCAGAGGAUGGUGGAAUUCCCGGUGUAGCGGUGAAAUGCGUAGAGAUCGGGAGGAACAUCAGUGGCGAAGGCGGCCAUCUGGGACAACACUGACGCUGAGGCACGAAAGCGUGGGGAGCAAACAGGAUUAGAUACCCCCGUAGUCCCUGUCUCUUAUAC
rnacentral:rRNA from 1 species